rnacentral:rRNA from 1 species
CUUGCAAACUGGAGAUGGCGACCGGCGCACGGGUGAGUAACACGUAUCCAACCUGCCGAUAACUCGGGGAUAGCCUUUCGAAAGAAAGAUUAAUACCCGAUGGCCUAAUAGAACCGCAUGGUUUGAUUAUUAAAGAAUUUCGGUUAUCGAUGGGGAUGCGUUCCAUUAGGCAGUUGGUGGGGUAACGGCCCACCAAACCUUCGAUGGAUAGGGGUUCUGAGAGGAAGGUCCCCCACAUUGGAACUGAGACACGGUCCAAACUCCUACGGGAGGCAGCAUG